UGUUGAUCUGAAUCUUCGGGUCCACAUCAUCUUCGCGGGACUUGGAAUUCCGGAGAAUUGCCUUUGUGAGAAACUGGCAGUAAGUUCUUUAAAUUCCAUCUCUUGGUCUUCCAUUUGGUUACGUUUCGGAGGAACUUCGGGAAACC
rnacentral:other from 1 species